GGCUGGCUCGAGUGCAGUGGUGUUUACACCUAAUUUAUCACAACCAGUUACAGAUUUCUUUGUUCCUUCUCCACUCCCACUGCUUCACUUGACCAGUCUUUA
rnacentral:Y_RNA from 1 species